AGCUUUGCGCAGUGGCAGUAUCGUAGCCAAUGAGGUUUAUCCGAGGCGCAAUUAUUGCUAAUUGAAAAACAUUCAGCUCUGGAUUGCUCAGAUAGAUGCUUGCUGGCUUAGAAAGAGAAGAAGAAUAUUGACAAUGUAUGAAGUUCUUCCAGUGUGCUUAUCACUGUACUCAGUAGA
rnacentral:snRNA from 11 species